GUGGCAACUGAACCAAACACAAUGCAAUUCCUUGACCUUGCAAGUUCUUGCGCGUUGCAUUGUUCCAUGUCAAGCGGCCUUUAGACUAAUCCACUUGACUGCAACAAGAAUUUCAGGGAUCGGCACGACAACAAAAUACAAAAGUAGCUUGUAACGUCUUACACUGGGGCUAAGCACUGGUAGAUUCUAACUUUUUCGCACGUUGCUUCCAUUAGAAGGGCCUCCAGACAACAUUCCCGGAUUAUUGACAUCUCGUGAAGUUUUUUGUAACCAAUUUCAUAGGCAGGCAACAAGACCCAAACAUUUAAAAGCAGAGCUCCGAACUUUACAAAGCAAUUCCUGCUUCGACGGCGGCGCUUCAAGAAACAACGAGCUCUCGGCCUACAGAACCAGUUUCACUUAACUCGACCUCGCGCCACGCUCCACCAGGCAGAAGACCCGCUCACUUCGACGCCAGAAUUCGCCGCGUGCACUUCGACUACCAUUUGUCCGAAUUUGAAACGCUUCAGUCUAAAUACGUCACAAACC